GUGGGGAAUAUUGGACAAUGGGCGAAAGCCUGAUCCAGCCAUGCCGCGUGUGUGAAGAAGGUCUUCGGAUUGUAAAGCACUUUAAGUUGGGAGGAAGGGCAGUAAGUUAAUACCUUGCUGUUUUGACGUUACCGACAGAAUAAGCACCGGCUAACUUCGUGCCAGCAGCCGCGGUAAUACGAAGGGUGCAAGCGUUAAUCGGAAUUACUGGGCGUAAAGCGGGCGUAGGUGGUUUUGUAAGUUGGAGGUGAAAUCCCCGGGCUCAACCUGGGAACUGCCUCCAAAACUGCAUGACUAGAGUACGGUAGAGGGUAGUGGAAUUUCCUGUGUAGCGGUGAAAUGCGUAGAUAUAGGAAGGAACACCAGUGGCGAAGGCGACUACCUGGACUGAUACUGACACUGAGGUGCGAAAGCGUGGGGAGCAAACAGGAUUAGAAACCCGGGUAGUCC
rnacentral:rRNA from 1 species